CUUGGUGCUUUCUAAAUGUCAGUGGAGAUUAUCACCCAAUCAAUAAUUUUAAGACAUCAUAAACUCUUUCUCUCUAGAAAGAAGCAAAUGGAAUUGUGAAAAGUCAGGAAAUGCAGACUUUGCACAUCCUGACUCUGUGGGAGCCACAGAGGGUAUUAGUCCAGGUAAAAGCUGGUACUCCCCAUAAAGAGGUUUUUGUCAUAAGGGAGACACAUAGAGCAAAGGAACUCGCAGCACCCACCUUUGAGAGGCGGCUCAUUCUCUCUUCAUUGUCUUCCAGAACACGCAAACUGGGAGGCACAAACCAGAAGCACACAUUUGUGUGCUGAGGCUACAAGGAAGAAAGUAGGAUUCAGACUUGGUCCAAAAUUCCAAGGAUAAUUUGGAUGUACUUAUUUUUCGGGUUCAGAAGAUAAUUGCUGUAUUUAAAUGGGCAGUUGCCUUUCACAUUCUAUAGAAUUAUUUGUGAGUCUGAUCUUUAUUCCAGCUCAAAGGAGCCAUCACAUCAUCUAUUGCUUCCCCUAGUAAUGGUCCCACUUAGCUAGACAGCACAAACAGCAGGGGUGAAGAGUGGAACUGAAGACACUGGGAUUCAACAAUGGCGAUUGUUGAAACUGCCUGUAUUUGACAAGUGCAAAUGGAAAUCCCAGAAAAGCGUUUGAUGCUCUUGGUACUGGUAUACUACCUAACUCAGCAUGGGAAAUGGAGGAAACAACUCUAAUGAUAGUGGAGAUGGAGAUAAGAUGGCCUCCUUACAUUUAAUAUGUCUGCCUCCAGAAGGCUAAGAAGAGACCCAGCCUGUACUGUUCCAACAGCUCUAGGAAGUACUUCACCUGUAGAAGAA